rnacentral:rRNA from 1 species
GGCGGCCUUCUGGACAGUACUGACGCUGAGAUGCGAAAGCGUGGGAGCAACAGGAUUAGAUACCUGGUAGUCACGCUGUAAACGAUGUCGAUUGGAGUUUGUUGCCUAGAGUGAUGGGCUCCGAAGCUAACGCGAUAAAUCGACCGCCUGGGGAGUACGGCCGCAAGGUUAAAACUCAAAUGAAUUGACGGGGGCCCGCACAAGCGGUGGAGCAUGUGGUUUAAUUCGAUGCAACGCGAAGAACCUUACCUGGUCUUGACAUCCAUAGAAUUCUGCAGAGAUGUGGGAGUGCCUUCGGGAACUAUGAGACAGGUGCUGCAUGGCUGUCGUCAGCUCGUGUUGUGAAAUGUUGGGUUAAGUCCCGCAACGAGCGCAACCCUUAUUCUUUGUUGCCAGCGAUUUGGUCGGGAACUCAAAGGAGACUGGCGUUGAUAAAGCGGAGGAAGGUGGGGACGACGUCAAGUCAUCAUGGCCCUUACGACCAGGGCUACACACGUGCUACAAUGGCGUAUACAAAGGGAAGCGAAGGUGCGAGCUGGAGCGGAUCUCAUAAAGUACGUCUAAGUUCGGAUUGGAGUCUGCAACUCGACUCCAUGAAGUCGGAAUCGCUAGUAAUCGUAGAUCAGAAUGCUACGGUGAAUACGUUCCCGGGCCUUGUACACACCGCCCGUCACACCAUGGGAGUGGGUUGCACCAGAAGUAGAUAGCUUAACCGCGAGGGGGGCGUUUACCACGGUGUGAUUCAUGACUGGGGUGAAGUCGUAACAAGGUAACCA